rnacentral:rRNA from 1 species
AAGACCCUAUGGAGCUUCAGACACUANAACAGCUCAUGUUAAGAACCCUCACAAAAGAGACCAAACUAGAUGACCCCUGUCCUAAUGUCUUUGGUUGGGGCGACCACGGGGUAACAAAAAACCCCCGCGCGGAACAGAAACACUGUUUCCAGAACCAAGAGCGCCCGCUCUAAGUAACAAGACCCACUUGACCUUUGAGAUCCGGCACAAGCCGAUCAACGGACCGAGUUACCCUAGGGAUAACAGCGCAAUCUUCUUCGAGAGUUCAUAUCGACGAGAAGGUUUACGACCUCGAUGUUGGAUCAGGACAUCCUAAUGGUGCAGCCGCUAUUAAGGGUUCGUUUGUUCAACGAUUAAAGUCCUACGUGAUCUGAGUUCAGACCGGACGUCG